GGUGUUGUGGCUCAGUGGUAGAGCACUUGCCUAGCAUGUGUGAGAUCCUGGGUUUGAGUCUCAGCAACACAU
rfam:Ictidomys tridecemlineatus contig047263, whole genome shotgun sequence.